rnacentral:misc_RNA from 1 species
GAUGAAGAACGUAGCGAAAUGCGAAAAGUAAUGUGAAUUGCAGAAUUCAGUGAAUCAUCGAAUCUUUGAACGCACAUUGCGCCCGCCAGUAUUCUGGCGGGCAUGCCUGUCUGAGCGUCAUUUCAACCAUCAAGCCCUGCUUGUGUUGGGGUCCUGCGGCUGCCCGCAGGCCCUGAAAACCAGUGGCGGGCUCGCUAGUCACACCGAGCGCAGUAGCACAUCUCGCUCAGGGCGUGCGGCGGGCUCCAGCCGUUAAAGCACCCACCUUUCGCAAGGUUGACCUCGGAUCAGGUAGGAAUACCCGCUGAACUUAAGCAUAUCAAUAAGCGGAGGA